CAGCAGCCGCGGUAAUACGUAGGGUGCAAGCGUUAAUCGGAAUUACUGGGCGUAAAGCGUGCGCAGGCGGUUUGUUAAGACAGAUGUGAAAUCCCCGGGCUCAACCUGGGAACUGCAUUUGUGACUGGCAAGCUAGAGUGUGGCAGAGGGGGGUGGAAUUCCGCGUGUAGCAGUGAAAUGCGUAGAUAUGCGGAGGAACACCGAUGGCGAAGGCAGCCCCCUGGGCCAACACUGACGCUCAUGCACGAAAGCGUGGGGAGCAAACAGGAUUAGAUACCCCAGUAGUCCCUGUCUCUUAUAC
rnacentral:rRNA from 1 species